ensembl:lncRNA
AGCCAGGCAGGAGAACCUACUAACCUCUUUAGUUGUUCAACUGCGAAUAUCAAAAUGAGUUAUAUACGUUUCUAGAAAAAUGCUUGCAACGAUUAGCGAACAUUAGCGAGCUGCUAGCAGCAUGAAUCAUGGCACAGGCCGGCUGCAGCUUUAUCUUUCCUGGCUGUGUAUAGCAUAGAUCCCAGGAGGUGCCUGACCCUGUCCCCAUCUCUCCGCUGCCAGCCUGCCAGAACACGCUGCACUAUCUCACACACUGCAUUUAUCCAGUGUACCGAUAAUAGGUUUACACCUGUUCCGUUGUUGCCUCCACUCAGGUCAGGACAGGGAAAAAUCACACUGGAAUACAUGCUGGGACGCUGAAUAUCCUCCUUACAUACAUGGAGUGGGCUACAGUCGCAACACGAGCAGCGUGUCGCCUCGCGGUUACGUGCCCAGCAGCACCCCGCAGCAGUCCAACUACAACACCGUCAGCAACACCAUGAACGGCUAUGGCAAUGCAGGGAAUGCCCAACCUGGGCGUGCCCAGCUCCACCGGGCUUCUUGAACGGCUCCUCAGCAAACUCUCCCUACGGCAGUAAGUAUCAAGUAGUUCCGUCGAGCCCUACCAUGGCAGCCUCUUCGGUCAGCCUCUCUUCAAACUGUAGCAGUACACACGGCAUUUUCUCAUUCUCACCUGCCAAUGUCAUCUCUGCAGUGAAACAAAAAAGCGCCUUUGCUCCAGUUGUCAGGCCCCAAGCAUCUCCACCUCCUUCUUGCACCAGUGCAAAUGGCAAUGGACUUCAAGCUAUGUCCGGACUGGUGGUCCCACCCAUGUAAAUUGCACCCCCUUUCCCUUGUAAAGCAGCCGUCUCCUCAUCGGGACGAAGCGUAGUACGUUAUGUGGAGGAUCCUCCUCGAAGUCGUCAAUUGUCAUGAAGUUAAUCAGCAACUAAUUCUGUUAUUUCACAGGAAAAAGACACUUUGUUUCAAAGAGUUUAUUCGAAAUUGACAUGCAAGCGACUUCGUCAUGAACAAUUUCAUUUUAUUGACUGAAUCUCUUAUCAUAUUUUCACGAUCUCGAAAUGGGAAAAAAAAGAACAAAACGUACCUAUUUUGUAUAAACAUUUCUGGUUUAAUCUUGGCUAUGUCUAGUUCUUGCUAUGUGUGGGAAGAAACAUUGUGGAUAUGCCAUUUGAUGAAAACACUGAUAAAAAAAAAAAUGUGUAAGAAUGUUUCUCUUUCACCGAUGUGCUGCCGCUGCACAUCUUCAUAAUGUGAAUUCAUUUUCCUUUUUUAUUAAUAUUAUUUUUUGUUUCUUCGUUUUGCUUUUUUUUUUUUUUUUUGAUUGUGGUAAUAAAAAGGGGGCCAAUAUAUACAGAGCCAAUAAACUGGAAAUAAUAUAAGAUAUAUGAUUUAUAAAUCAAAAAGAAAGGCAAGGAAGAAGGAACGAUGGGAGGAACCGUGAAAUGGUGAUCUUAUAUUGGUCAGUUCGUUCGGCGGAAAUGAACUUUGUAACUUAUUGUAGGUAGAAGUUGUAACUUUGAUAUUGCAAAAAUUAUUCUCUUGCCUUCAACAAGCACACUAACAGAGACGAAGCGCUACUGUCUGUUGGUUAAAAAAGAAAAAGAAAAAAAGAAAAAAAAAAGAAAGAAAAUAUUUCCACUGCUAAAGCUUCCUGUAAAGCAAGUGUGAUCUGCGAUGUUUUUCAACUUUUUUGCUAGCACUGUAUACUAUUGCAUUCUUAGGCUACUGUGAAGUCUGUUUCUUGUACCAGAAAGUUGUCCUUAUACCCUCUAGCUCCUUACUCCCUAAUGUGUUUUGUAUGUGGUUAUACAAUUGUAGACUUUUGUGAUUUUGCCAAAGUUGUAGCUAAAUAUUUAUACACUUGUCUUGAAUUUUCCAGAAUCACUUAAAUAUUUAGUACAGAGUUUUAUUCCUACAGUUAGGAGUAAAAUUGUCUUAUACAUUGCAACACUUUCACACAAACACUUGCGGUCACUAAGGGAAUUUUUUGUAACAUACCAAUUAUAAAUAUUGUAUUUAUCUUUGAAAUUUUGUAUAUUGCUUUCCAUCAUUUUCUUUGAUCUCACCUGUAUUGUUUUCCAUGGUCGAAAUUACAAUGAAGGUUUAGCCAAGAAUCAUCGCCUCCAUUCGAUGUUUUGUACCGAUAGAUCUGUGCAUUUCAUUUGUAAUUCAGAAUUUUUUUAUGCCAUCAGACCUUCCGUCCAUUUUGUUUGUUUGUUUGUUUGUUUAUUUGCUAUUUCGAGGAGCAGUCAAAACCAUUGUUUAUUUUUAUAUUAAUUUUUAAGUUAUCUAAAAAAAGUACUUUUUUGAAAGAAAACUGUUUGUUGUAUAGUCAAAUAAAUUGUUUGUGUCACCUGGCUGUAAUAAUAUUAGUAGAUAAAGUGCAUGUCAAGCGCCCCAGGGGGGAAAAUCCAAUUGUGGUUGUAAAUUUUGUUUUUGUAGAAUGUAAAAAGUCAUUUUUACCUGCCACCAUGACUUUGCCACAUAACUGAACCAUGUUUACAGGGAUCAAGAAGGAAAAAAAGGAAAGAAAAAAUUAUCUGCAAUGGAAAUAUACAUCAGUUACUAAUGUUUAUUAAAAUAUGUCAGAAAAAAGCUCUGUCAAAGGCUUUCCAGUGAAUCUCCUGAGAGGAACCUUUCUGCUGUUUUAAUGACAAACGUACACCACAGUGAAUCUCAUUAUUCCAUUCAGAUCAAUGGUGUAAAAAGCACAAACAUUUUUUACUAAAAUAAAAAAUAAUUAUUGUGACCCCUCAUCUUUUUGGACUAUUUUGUCAGCUUGUCUUUUUUAACAUUAAUUUUUACCCUAUUCCCUCAAGUAAAACAGCAUUCAAAGGGAAUGAAAACAAAUGAAAAGUUAGUUUUUGUAUCAUAUAUGGUCAACAAAGAUGAAGAUGUUCUAUAUUGUAAAUGUCAUUUUGUAAGUAACUCAUGACACCGUAGCAUAACCGAAAUCAUAUCACUUUCUUACACUUUUUUUUUCUCUCAAUGACAUUGAUUUUCCGAGUUGUGCCAAAAUCCGCAAAUGAACCCUAUCCAAGGCUUUCAUUUUGAGCUCUUUUUCUUUGCACUUCAGGGCUUUUGUAAAUGCUGUAAUGUUCAGCAGUGUGCUACACUUUCUGUUUCAAACCAAAAGCGGAUGUUUCCUCUUGGCAAUCGGCACAAGUUUCCUUUAGCUGCAGGAAGCAAAGGCAGCUGUAGAAGCAAAGAAAUGAUGAAUGUACAAUGUAUUUGCUUUGUGAUGGCUCAACAAAGCUCAGCCAAGUGGAGGAGCCGGUGAGGUCACCCUGAAAGUAAGAAAAACUCAAGGUUAUGUGAAGUGCAUUUGUGGAUUUCAUCAUUUCUGCAAACUGGUUUUGUCUUUUAGUCUAAUUAAGUACCCAUACUCUGAAGAACUGACUAAACACGAGCUCUGUAAGAACAAAUGCCUUUUUUUCUGGCUCAUGUAUGGUUUUAUCCGAGUUGUUUUAUGGCCACAUUUCUACAUUUUAUUGUACAAAGUUGUUUCAUUUUACAUAAUAUUUAAUUAAAGUAUUUCUUGUCUGUGACCAGUUUCUCCCUGCAAUCUUAUUUUUGUCUUUUCUCGCUCUAAAAGCAACCAUGCAUUCAAAAU